rnacentral:rRNA from 1 species
UACAGAGGUCUCAACCGUUGUUCGGAUUCAUUGGGCGUAAAGGGUGCGUAGGCGGUCGUGUAAGUCGGAUGUGAAAUCCCGGGGCUCAACCCCGGAACUGCAUUCGAUACUGCAUGGCUAGGGUACUGGAGAGGAAACUGGAAUUUACGGUGUAGCAGUGAAAUGCGUAGAUAUCGUAAGGAAGACCAGUGGCGAAGGCGAGUUCCUGGACAGUUACCGACGCUGAGGCACGAAGGCCAGGGGAGCAAACGGG